GUUCUACUCCCUUCGUUCGGAAUUACUUAUCGCAAAAAUGGAUGUAUCUAGAUGUAUUUUAGUUCUAGAUACAUCCAUUUUCGCGACAAGUAAUUCCGAACGGAGGGAGUAAUUC
rnacentral:pre_miRNA from 1 species